UGUAAGCAUACGAAACAGUAAUGUUUUCACUAACUUCUGCUUAUACCAUAGGUUAGCACACACUACAGAGCGGGGGGAAUCCAUAUCCCAUUUUAGGCAUCACCACUUCCGACAAAGAAGUUUGUUUGAUAUUUGCCCACAAUUAAAUGAUGGAACCAUAUGCCCAGCAUGUCCAAAGGCGGAUGGAGAUAUGAUUGUCACAUUGGAUGCCAACUUUGGCCUUGUGAGGAAGCAAAGCUCCAGUACAAGUGCGGUUGAUCCAUUACAUGGAACCCGCAUGUUUGUUGAUGAAAAGGAUGUAGAGGAAUACCUACUAUCACAUCUUGACAGCUCAAAUCACGAGGUUAAUCAUUGUUGCAGAAUUUCAUGGCCUGAGUCCAUGAAAUAUUAAUUAAACUUGUGAAAAAAGAUCAGUAUUCCUCCCAUAAAUCUAUGUUUUCCUUAAAUCUUUAGGACUGCAGUAAGCUGCUCUCAUUCAA